rnacentral:rRNA from 1 species
ACGGCUCAGUAACACGUGGCUAAUCUGCCCUUAGGACGAGAACAACCCCGGGAAACUGGGGCUAACUCUUGAUAGGCGAAGAACUCUGGAAUGAGUCUUUACCUAAAUAGAUUCACGUUAUCCUCGUGAAUUUGCCUAAGGAUGAGGCCGCGACCGAUCAGGUUGUUGGCGAGGUAAUGGCUCACCAAGCCUUUUACCGGUGCGGGCCGUGGGAGCGGGAGCCCGGAGAUGGGUACUGAGACAAGGACCCAGGCCCUACGGGGCGCAGCAGUCGCGAAACCUUUGCAAUAAGCGAAAGCUUGACAGGGCUAUCCCGAGUGCCAUCCGCUGAGGAAGGCUUUUACCCAGUCUAGAACGCUGGGGGAAUAAGGAGAGGGCAAGUCUGGUGUCAGCCGCCGCGGUAAUACCAGCUCUUCGAGUGGUGUGGAUGUUUAUUGGGCCUAAAGCAUCCGUAGCUGGCUAGGUCAGUCCCUUGUUAAAUCCACCGAAUUAAUCGUUGGAUCGCGGGGGAUACUGCUUGGCUAGGGGACGAGAGAGGCAGACGGUAUUUUCGGGGUAGGGGUGAAAUCCUAUAAUCCCGGGAAGACCACCAGUGGCGAAGGCUGUCUGCUAGAACGCGCCCGACGGUGAAGGAUGAAAGCUGGGGGAGCGAACCGGAUUAGAUACCCGGGUAGUCCCAGCUGUAAACGAUGCAGACUAGGUGUUUGGACGGCCACGUGCCGUUCUAGUGCCGCAGGGAAGCUGUUAAGUCUGCCGCCUGGGGAGUACGAUCGCAAGAUUGAAACUUAAAGGAAUUGGCGGGGGAGCAC